GACGAACCGUGCGAACGUUGUUCGGAAUCACUGGGCUUAAAGGGCGCGUAGGCGGAUGACCGAGUCCGGGGUGAAAGCUUCCGGCUUAACCGGAAAAGGGCCUCGGAGACCGGUCGUCUGGAGGGAGGUAGGGGUCUGCGGAACUGCUGGUGGAGCGGUGAAAUGCGUUGAUAUCAGCAGGAACGCCGGUGGCGAAAGCGGCGGACUGGACCUCUUCUGACGCUGAGGCGCGAAAGCCAGGGGAGCAAACGGG
rnacentral:rRNA from 1 species